UCAGCCUCUUCUUCGCAUCCAAAAGAGUUUUUUUUUUCCAUUUUCGUUCUGGAGUUGAAAUUUAUAUCUUAUAUUUUAUUUUCUUUAUAAGUUUCUUUGAGGAAAAGAAACUUGAAGAAUAGGCUCGUCCAAGCCUGAAAUUGGACUUAUAGAUUUUGAUUAAUUGGUCCAAAAAACUAACUGGAUGGUUAGUGAGCCCCAAAAACUAACGGUGUAAAAGUUUUGAUUGGUUGGCCUGUGCUAAAAUCAAUUGAGUUUGUUUGUGAGCCCGAUGAAAAUUAAUAUAUUGUAA
rnacentral:lncRNA from 1 species